rnacentral:rRNA from 1 species
UUAGUUUUAUAAUUUAAAACUGGAAUGAAAGAAUUAACUAGAAGAUAAAUAUUUAUGUUAAAAAGAUCAAAUUUUACUUUUUAUUAAAAAGGAUAAAAUAAAUUUUAUAGACAAGAAGACCCUGUAAAAUUUUACAUAUUCUAGACAUAAAAAUCAUAGUUUAUGUUUUGCUGGGGCGGCAAGAAAGAAGACGUUUUUAAUUUUAAUAGAAUUAUUUAAAUAACUGAAAUUUUCAAAAUUAGAAUAAAUUACUUCAGGGAUAACAGCGUUAUUUAUUUAGAAAGUUCUUAUUGACAAAUAAGUUUGCGACCUCGAUGUUGAAUUAAGUAACCUUCCUUGUGAAAAGAUGAU